rnacentral:rRNA from 1 species
UACGAAGGGGGCUAGCGUUGUUCGGAAUUACUGGGCGUAAAGCGCGCGUAGGCGGUUUUGCAAGCCAGAGGUGAAAUGCCUGAGCUCAACUUAGGAAUUGCCUUUGGGACUGCGAGGCUUUGAGGACGGGAGAGGUGAGUGGAAUUCCUAGUGUAGAGGUGAAAUUCGUAGAUAUUAGGAAGAACACCUGCGGCGAAGGCGGGUUGCUGGGCUGACACUGACGCUGAGGCGCGAAGCCAGGGAGCGAACAGG